GCCUGGCUGGCUCAGUCAGUGGAGCAUGAGACUCUCAACCUCAAGGUCGUGAGUUCAAGCCCCAUGUUGGACA
rnacentral:tRNA from 1 species